CAAAAAACCAGAAGGUGUGUGAUGUCUCAGCUAACCGUGUUCACAGAGCGGCGUCUUGGUUUAAAUUGCUGAUGAGAGUGAGUUUGAGCCAAGACUCCAGCUCCGACAGCAUUUUCCUUCCUGCCAGUCCUGGCAGAAAAGCAGGACAGGCUGCUGGGGCCUGGAGAUCCAACCACCUCAAAGCCAGAUGAGCUGGAACUGGUUUGACAAAGCUCUUGCUCAUCAUCAACUUGAAAGGGCUUAUCCUGAUGCCCUGCUGUAUGAAACAGAGCCAGCUUAGGGAACGCCACCGAAAUUUAACUCUUAUCAGCGUGGUAUUAAAAAUACACCCAAUGUUCACACCGUGGGAGCUCCGUCGUCUGCUCAGGUAACACGAUCCUAUAUACUGAAAUAUAACAUAUGGACAUGGCAGAACUUCAACCAGUCUAUACGCUGCUCCAGAAUACAUCCGUCCUCAGUCAGUCAGCGGCUUGCAAGACAUAAAAGACGAGAUGAACAAACAACCGUGAGAUAAUAUCCAUCAGAAAUAACUAUUAGGAGGCUCCACGCAUAAAGUAGUACAAAAACUACCUAAUGUCUUCCAAAUGUAGUAGCUUUACUAACAUUUGGGCCUUACAAUUUUCACAUUGCCCCUGUUCCUCUCAGAACGUGUUAAUUCUGUAGGAUACUCCUCCUCAUUUUCCAUCAUUCAGGUGAUGGAAAAUAUCACUGCAAACUGCUGGUAAUGUUUAUAGCUUAUAUGGCUGCCACUAAUUGCAAAUAAGCCCAGACAAAUGCUUUAUAAGAGAUAGAUGUAUCUCUCACAAAUGCAUGACGCAGUUUUAUAAUGCAGCGUUCUUGGCUUCAACCGCGACCGAAAGAAGAGUUAUGUGAUCACCCUGUCCAUCUUCCCUUUGCCCAAUAACUUUUGGACCAAUUUUAAUCAAAUCAGAAAGCCAGGUAGACAUCUCACAGAUAGGAGUUUCUAUCAGCUUAAUGAGGACUGAUGGCUGCAAGAGAAAAAUAAUGCACAAAUUACUACUAGCACUGGUAAAAAGGUUUCAAUGGGGGCCCAUCAGUCACCCCCUGUGCCUGGGGUGCCUCUGGCCAUUCGGUCACCACUAGUCCAGAAUCAGUCGAUGCCACCUCCUUCCACCUGACACACGCACCUCCGACAAGUUUUGAAGAAAACUUGUCUAAAAAUGUAUUAAAGCAAAGCAAACAUAAUGAAAUCAGUGACUGAUGAAUUCUCCAACAUGCAUUAAAAUGCAAAAAAAUGCUCACACUGAUUAUUUUGAUACCAACCUUGGCAGCACCAUUAGUCCCCAGUCUGUCAAGCACUGGCCUUGCAGGCCUAUGGAGAACGUGCAGGUCUCCACUGUUUCCAUGGGAUUAUUUGGGUUAUUCUAUCUCUUCACACACAGAACAAUCAGCCUUUUUCGGCAGACUUCAACAUGAUGGUAAAAGCUAAUUGAGAACGAUGAGCCCUAAUGUGGUAUGGUUAAUCUUUCUGAGUUUUAUCGAUGAAAAAACAAAUUACCUUCUCCAUGUAAUAACACAGAUAUUGUGAUUUGAAUCUGAACGAAAAGAUGUUAUGCUGCCAACAUUGUGCUCCGUGGGAUAAAUCAAUGUAUUCUUGUUUUUUGGAUGAGUGGUUUUAGUCUCAGCUCCAGUGUCACUUCCUCAUCAAGUCACAUUUGCAAAGGAUUUGGGGUGUUUGAGGGAGGAUGUUUUAUAGGGCUUGAUUUCCAAAAAGCGGUCACUACCCAUACAUGAGAAGUUUUAGAAGCUUACUAGAAAUCUCCUUAAACCUCAUAAACAAUAGAUACCGACAGUAAAAGCUACUGUGAAAGUUUGUAAUUUUAAAGUACAACAAAGCACCAAAAAAACCCACAAAAACUAAUGGGAGAUUCUGGAGCGUUUCCUCCUCCUUGGCUCAACUCAUCACUAUGUGCAACAGCAGGAGAAGUUUCACAGGCAACCUCCAACCUGCUAAUUCUUCCAAACUAACGAAGUGGCAGCAGAGGAGGUUCUGCUGGGGCAAUAAUUUGUAGAUUAUAUUAAACUGCCAACCAAUAAACCUCCUGCUCAACCCACCUCUUGCAGAGGUGUUUUAUUCAGCACCAAGACAUAUGUUCUUUAGCUGGAAGAUGUGUUUGGAGGCUGAAAUAACUUUGCCACCAGCCACUUUGGCACUGGGUCUCUUCUAAACAUUUCAUAAGAAGUUAUUAUUUCCCAUGAGAAACCACAUUAAAGCAUUUCUUGAACAAACGGAGCUAUCUUUGACUUGAAGAGCAUCAUAUGAUCUCAGCCAUUCCACGUGCAACUAGUUUUCAAACUGAUUUAGACCCAUAAAACAGUUGCCUUGAAAGUUUUCCCUUAAAAAUCUAACUUAAUCUAAAAUUGCCAUGAAAAUUCAUGUAAAAACGCAGUUUGCGAUUCCCAAAAAUUGAAAGUCAAAUGUAAAAUAACACGUUUGCUAAACAGCUUCGAAUUCCACAUGGAAACAAGAGAGUGUUUCCUUUGGCCGAGGUUGAUGAGCAGAAGGUGGUGAAAACCUCUCACAACACCAACCCUACGAAGUGCAGGGUUGAGGCAUCAGAUGGAAAAGCAAAGACCUGAACCUCUCACCUUUCAUUGAGCUUUUCAAUAUCCCACUAGAAGGACCCGCGUUUACAAACUGCCCUUUGAAAAGGAUUCAUUUUCCAUUCCUCUUGUCAAAAGAAAGAUACAGUCUACAUAAAACCAGCAACAGAUUUGUCCU